ensembl:snRNA U6 U6 spliceosomal RNA
UCAGCUGUCUGCUGUGUGACUGAAAACUCAUUUAAUACAGAGCACAUUGGCCUGGUCCUUGCAUAAGGGUGACAUGGGCAUUUGUGAAGUGCUCCAUAUUUUU